CGCGGCGUGANGGGUGAGUAACGCGUGGGCAACCUGCCCUGNUACAGAGGGACAACAACGGGAAACCGUUGCUAAUACCUCAUAAAACCCGAAAGGGGCAUCCCUUAUGGGUCAAAGAAUUUCGGUACAGGAUGGGCCCGCGUCUGAUUAGCUAGUUGGUGAGGUAAUGGCUCACCAAGGCGACGAUCAGUAGCCGACCUGAGAGGGUGAUCGGCCACACUGGAACUGAGACACGGUCCAGACUCCUACGGGAGGCAGCAGUGGGGAAUAUUGCACAAUGGGGGAAACCCUGAUGCAGCAACGCCGCGUGAGCGAUGAAGGCCUUCGGGUCGUAAAGCUCUGUCCUAAGGGAAGAAAUUUGACGGUACCUUAGGAGGAAGCCCCGGCUAACUACGUGCCAGCAGCCGCGGUAAUACGUAGGGGGCAAGCGUUAUCCGGAAUCACUGGGCGUAAAGGGUGCGUAGCGGUCUUACAAGUCAGGGGUGAAAGGCUACGGCUCACCGUAGUAAGCCUUUGAAACUGUAGGACUUGAUGCAGGACAGGAAAGUGGAAUUCCUAUGUAGCGGUGAAAUGCGUAGAUAUUAGGAGGAACACCAG
rnacentral:rRNA from 1 species